UACGUAGGGUGCGAGCGUUGUCCGGAAUUAUUGGGCGUAAAGAGCUUGUAGGCGGUCUGUCGCGUCUGCUGUGAAAAUCCGGGGCUCAACCCCGGACUUGCAGUGGGUACGGGCAGACUAGAGUGUGGUAGGGGAGACUGGAAUUCCUGGUGUAGCGGUGAAAUGCGCAGAUAUCAGGAGGAACACCGGUGGCGAAGGCGGCUCUCUGGAACGCAACUGACGCUGAGACGCGAAAGCGUGGGGAGCAAACAGG
rnacentral:rRNA from 1 species